rnacentral:rRNA from 1 species
GAUGAACGCUGGCGGCGUGCCUAAUACAUGCAAGUCGAGCGAACAGACGAGGAGCUUGCUCCUCUGACGUUAGCGGCGGACGGGUGAGUAACACGUGGAUAACCUACCUAUAAGACUGGGAUAACUUCGGGAAACCGGAGCUAAUACCGGAUAAUAUAUUGAACCGCAUGGUUCAAUAGUGAAAGACGGUUUUGCUGUCACUUAUAGAUGGAUCCGCGCCGCAUUAGCUAGUUGGUAAGGUAACGGCUUACAAAGGCAACGAUGCGUAGCCGACCUGAGAGGGUGAUCGGCCACACUGGAACUGAGACACGGUCCAGACUCCUACGGGAGGCAGCAGUAGGGAAUCUGCCGCAAUGGGCGAAAGCCUGACGGAGCAACGCCGCGGGAGUGAGGAAGGUCUUCGGAUCGUAAAACUCUGUUAUUAGGGAAGAACAAAUGUGUAAGUAACUAUGCACGUCUUGACGGUACCUAAUCAGAAAGCCACGGCUAACUACGUG